AGAGUUUGAUCCUGGCUCAGGAUGAACGCUAGCGGCAGGCUUAACACAUGCAAGUCGAGGGGCAGCGGGGAGGAAGCUUGCUUUCUCCGCCGGCGACCGGCGCACGGGUGAGUAACACGUAUGCAACCUGCCCCUGUCAGGGGGACAACCCGCCGAAAGGCGGGCUAAACCCGCGUACAUGCCACCGGGGCAUCCCGGAGGCAGGAAAGGCUUCGGCCGGACAGGGAUGGGCAUGCGGCGCAUUAGGCAGUAGGCGGGGUAACGGCCCACCUAACCGACGAUGCGUAGGGGUUCUGAGAGGAAGGUCCCCCACACUGGUACUGAGACACGGACCAGACUCCUACGGGAGGCAGCAGUGAGGAAUAUUGGUCAAUGGUCGGGAGACUGAACCAGCCAAGCCGCGUGAGGGAGGAAGGUACAGAGUAUCGUAAACCUCUUUUGUCAGGGAACAAAGGCGGGGACGUGUCCCCGGAUGAGUGUACCUGAAGAAAAAGCAUCGGCUAACUCCGUGCCAGCAGCCGCGGUAAUACGGAGGAUGCGAGCGUUAUCCGGAUUUAUUGGGUUUAAAGGGUGCGCAGGCGGUCUGUUAAGUCAGCGGUCAAAGCCCGGGGCUCAACCCCGGCCCGCCGUUGAAACUGGCAGUCUCGAGUUGGAGAGAAGUAUGCGGAAUGCGCGGUGUAGCGGUGAAAUGCAUAGAUAUCGCGCAGAACUCCGAUUGCGAAGGCAGCAUGCCGGCUCCACACUGACGCUGAGGCACGAAAGCGUGGGUAUCGAACAGGAUUAGAUACCCUGGUAGUCCACGCAGUAAACGAUGAAUGCUGGCUGUCCGGGGGGAUUGACCCCUGGGUGGCGAAGCGAAAGCGAUAAGCAUUCCACCUGGGGAGUACGCCGGCAACGGUGAAACUCAAAGGAAUUGACGGGGGCCCGCACAAGCGGAGGAACAUGUGGUUUAAUUCGAUGAUACGCGAGGAACCUUACCCGGGCUCAAACGGGGAGUGACUCAGGCAGAGACGCCUGUUUCCCACGGGACACUCCCCGAGGUGCUGCAUGGUUGUCGUCAGCUCGUGCCGUGAGGUGUCGGCUUAAGUGCCAUAACGAGCGCAACCCCCGCGUGCAGUUGCUAACAGAUAACGCUGAGGACUCUGCACGGACUGCCGGCGCAAGCCGCGAGGAAGGCGGGGAUGACGUCAAAUCAGCACGGCCCUUACGUCCGGGGCGACACACGUGUUACAAUGGGUGGUACUGCGGGAAGCCAGGCGGCGACGCCGAGCGGAACCCGAAAUCCACUCUCAGUUCGGAUCGGAGUCUGCAACCCGACUCCGUGAAGCUGGAUUCGCUAGUAAUCGCGCAUCAGCCAUGGCGCGGUGAAUACGUUCCCGGGCCUUGCACUCACCGCCCGUCA
rnacentral:rRNA from 1 species